rnacentral:rRNA from 1 species
AGGCCUAACACAUGCAAGUCGAUCGCUCUUUUCGGAGAGAGAGGCGCACGGGUGAGUAACACGUGGGAAUAUACCCUUGAGUGCGGAAUAACUAUUGGAAACGAUAGCUAAUACCGCAUACGCCCUACGGGGGAAAGAUUUAUCGCUCAAGGAUUAGCCCGCGUCUGAUUAGCUAGUUGGUGAGGUAACGGCUCACCAAGGCGACGAUCAGUAGCUGGUUUGAGAGAAUGAUCAGCCACACUGGGACUGAGACACGGCCCAGACUCCUACGGGAGGCAGCAGUGGGGAAUAUUGGACAAUGGGGGCAACCCUGAUCCAGCCAUGCCGCGUGAGUGAAGAAGGCCUUCGGGUUGCAAAGCUCUUUCAGACGUGAAGAUGAUGACGGUAACGUCAGAAGAAGCCCC